rnacentral:rRNA from 1 species
AACGAACGCUGGCGGCAUGCCUAACACAUGCAAGUCGAAAGAGACCUUCGGGUCUCGUGGCGCACGGGUGCGUAAAGCGAGGGAACCUGCCCUUAGGUUCGGAAUAACUCCCCGAAAGGGGUGCUAAUACCGGAUAAUGUCAUCGGAACAAAGAUUUAUCGCCUUUGGAUGGGCCCGCGUUGGAUUAGCUAGUUGGUAGGGUAAAAGCCUACCAAGGCGACGAUCCAUAGCUGGUCUGAGAGGAUGAUCAGCCACACUGGGACUGAGACACGGCCCAGACUCCUACGGGAGGCAGCAGUGGGGAAUAUUGGACAAUGGGCGAAAGCCUGAUCCAGCAAUGCCGCGUGAGUGAUGAAGGCCUUAGGGUUGUAAAGCUCUUUUACCCGGGAUGAUAAUGACAGUACCGGGAGAAUAAGCUCCGGCUAACUCCGUG